GGGCUCAUAGCUCAGUCUGGUCAGAGCGCUCGCCUCUUAAGCGAGAUGUCGAGGGUUCGAAUCCCCCUGGGCCCA
rnacentral:tRNA from 1 species